GUGCGGGUAACGUGGUGGUUAGCGCGCUCAAUAAACUUUAUCAGUGUUGCUUUUCCAGCGUUUAGCGAGAGGCCUGGGUUCGAAUCCCAGCCAGCCCA